AUAACUAUUGGAAACGAUAGCUAAUACCGCAUAACAGCUUUUAACUCAUGUUAGGAGCUUGAAAGAUGCAAUUGCAUCACUAGUAGAUGGACCUGCGUUGUAUUAGCUAGUUGGUGAGGUAACGGCUCACCAAGGCGACGAUACAUAGCCGACCUGAGAGGGUGAUCGGCCACACUGGGACUGAGACACGGCCCAGACUCCUACGGGAGGCAGCAGUAGGGAAUCUUCGGCAAUGGGGGCAACCCUGACCGAGCAACGCCGCGUGAGUGAAGAAGGUUUUCGGAUCGUAAAGCUCUGUUGUAAGAGAAGAACGUGUGUGAGAGUGGAAAGUUCACACAGUGACGGUAACUUACCAGAAAGGGACGGCUAACUACGUGCCAGCAGCCGCGGUAAUACGUAGGUCCCGAGCGUUGUCCGGAUUUAUUGGGCGUAAAGCGAGCGCAGGCGGUUUAAUAAGUCUGAAGUUAAAGGCAGUGGCUUAACCAUUGUUCGCUUUGGAAACUGUUAGACUUGAGUGCAGAAGGGGAGAGUGGAAUUCCAUGUGUAGCGGUGAAAUGCGUAGAUAUAUGGAGGAACACCGGUGGCGAAAGCGGCUCUCUGGUCUGUAACUGACGCUGAGGCUCGAAAGCGUGGGGAGCAAACAGGAUUAGAUACCCUGGUAGUCCACGCCGUAAACGAUGAGUGCUAGGUGUUAGGCCCUUUCCGGGGCUUAGUGCCGCAGCUAACGCAUUAAGCACUCCGCCUGGGGAGUACGACCGCAAGGUUGAAACU
rnacentral:rRNA from 1 species